UACGUACGAGGCGAGCGUUAUCCGGAAUUACUGGGCGUAAAGCGCGCGCAGGUGGCCGUUUAAGUCGGACGUGAAAUCUCCCGGCCUAACUGGGAGGGGUCGUUCGAGACUGGGCGGCUUGAGGACUGCAGAGGUGGGUGGAAUUCCUGGUGUAGUGGUGAAAUGCGUAGAGAUCAGGAGGAACACCGGUGGCGAAGGCGGCCCACUGGGCAGUCACUGACGCUGAGGCGCGAAAGCUCGGGGAGCGAACGGG
rnacentral:rRNA from 1 species